AAGCAUAGUGCUUAGUGUUGCUCCCUUAGAAAUUCUUCCCUCAAAGCAUCCUGGGGGUCAGCUCAGCCUCAAGUCACUUUGGGACCUCAGGGACAGAUUUUGGGGGGUGGUAAGAAAUGGCAACCAGGUUGGGUGUAGGAUGACCCCUGAGAAAAGCAGUCAGAAGUCCAGAAUAUUAUAUCCCAAAGCACUGGAAAUCAGGCUGACUUCACUGUUUUUGUUCCUGGACUAUGGUCAGGUAAGUAGGGAUUGGUGGAAAGGGUUCUUGCAGCAAGAAUACUGAAAAUUAAAUGAAUUAUGGCUUUGUGGAUCUAUAUAGAUAGAACUCCAAUUGGAGAUCCAGGUGAGGGGUCUGCCAUAAACCAAGGUAUCUGACAAACAGGCAAGGCCCUAGGCGAGACUCUGGACUCAGCAGGGAAAACCAGAGCCUGAAGCAGGUACACCAGGCUGAAAUCAAACCGACAAGGAGAACACAAUAGGGCAGUAAAGGAAAGCUUGACUCAGUUUGUGCAUGGGUUCCCAUGCCUCAUCCCUGGGACUAGGUAGAGUAGGGCUCCUCAAACUCAGCGCUGUGAACAGCUGGGGCUGGACAGUACUCUGUUGGUGGGGGGUUACCCUCUGCAUUGUAGGGUAUUUAAUGACAUUCCUCACCUUUACCCACUAGGUGCUAUUAAUUAAUAUUCCCUCAGCUGUGACAACCAUAGAUGUCUCCAGACAUUGACAAAUAUCUCUGGGUGGAAAAAGUUGCCCUAAUUGGAAACCAUUAGUUGACAGCAAAAGACUAAUUCCUGUCAGCACUGACUGGUGGGACCACUUUCUUGAUCAGAAUUGGUUCAGGAAUAGGCACAGUUGAAUCUGUCAAUUAAGGCUCUCUGGAUCUGCAGACAAGCAGGGCUAGUACUUGACAGAAACUGUCCAAAGACCUUUAGCACUAAAAUGAGAAAAACCAUUAAGUGUUGGAGAGGAGAAGGCUAUCAUUGUGUUUGGAGUUAAGAAGAGGGUGGAGAAGGAAGAUGAAGAUGUCAGGGUGAAGUUAGGUCUAUAAGUCUGAGCCAAGUUGAGAGCUUAUGGUAGAGGCCACGCCUGCUCCAUUGGGCUUGUCUAGACCAAGACCUAUUAUUCAGAACCCCCAGUCCUUGCCAUUUGGUGCACUUUGGUAUCCAAAUCCUACAUUUUGAUAGAGCACUGAGCAAAGGCCUAGGUGGAUCUUUGAUGAUGAAGUCCGUGCUUGUCACUCCAACUUGAUGAUCCACUCUCUUCCAUAUGGCUGUCUGGUUCAUUAUGAGAAGGCUUACAGGAGGCUACAAUGGCAACUUUCCAGCAAUAUGAAUGCUUUGAAGGCUCAGAUGAACUCUGUUAAGAGAAGAAUGCCCAGCAAGGUCCAGGAUAAUGUUUAUGCUGAAUCUUGUCCAAGUUUCUCUUCCUGGGAAAGAUAUUAGCUGACUCUGGAGCUAAGUCUAAGUUGAGGCCAGUGAGACCUGUCCUGUAGCUUCAUCCCCAUAACAAUGGUUGAUACUGGCUUUAUUCAUGGCUUCCUAUCUACUGUUUCCAGAGAUGAUCUUUCACAGUCUUCAAUAAGCCUUCAACUCUCAGGAAUUUUACCAUUUCUAAAUUCAGGAUUUCUGCUAUUUCCUGUGGUUAUAUUGGCCCUAUAAACAGCACAUCUUUCUUUUCAGUGAAGAAAUUAAAUGUCACAUAGUCUGCUCUGAGAAAAGAGCCAAGUUCAGGGCAGAGACUACCUUCCUGGGUACCCCCCAAGAAGGAGUCUUGAUCACUUCUCUAAACAUGCCCUGGAUGUUCCCAGAGCUCAUGAAAACGCUGCUCUCCAGUGGUGCUAGCAGCUCUGAUGAAGGCUAAGUCCAAGCUCUGAAUUCAGGAGAGCAGAGCUGCCUCCUGCUCCCACCACCGUGGUUCUCAGGCAGUAAUGGGCAAGAUUUUCACUAUGUGCUAAUGGAAAGCAGUGGGCAGGGGAAGGGCAAAUAAAUGACUACACAAAGGUACAUACCUGUACUUGGCCAGGGUGGAUCUAUAUUUGGUUCUAUUAUUGGCCAUGUCAAUUGGAGCAACCAUUUGGAAAGUCAUUUGGCAACAUCUCCCAAAGCUGAAUAUACAUGAAGCCUAGGAGCCAGGAAUUCCACUUCCAGGAUAUGCCCAAUAGAAAUGAAUACAUAUGUUCACCAAAAGGCGUGUCCUAGAAUGUUUAUAAUUGUGAACAGACCAAAGCUAGAAACUAUCCAAGUGUCCAUCAACAAUGGAGUGGGAAAUAAAAUGUCUCUUCGUACAAUGGAAUCUACAUAGCAAUGAGAACAAAGAACUUACAAAAGUACACAGCAACAUGGAUGAAAUUCACAAGCAUAAUUCCGAACAAAAAAUGCCAUGUACCAAAAAGCUUAUAGCAUAUGACUCCAUUUAUGUACAGUAGAAAAACAGGCAAAACAGCUAGCCUGUUAGAAGUCAGAAUGGUGGUUACCCUUUGAGGGGCUGUUCCUAGAUGGGGACUCAUGGGGUAAUGUUCAUUCCAUGUCUUGAACUGUGCACUGAUUACACUGGUGUGUUUAGCUUGUGAAAUGUAUCCACCUAUACACUUAUGUGGUUUUCUGUAUGUACAUUAUAUUUCAAUAACAUUUUAAGAAAGUGUUUUGCCACUUAUUAGUUCAUUUGACCCACACAACAGUUCUAGGAGAUAAGAAGGCCAGGUAACUUUUCUUCAGAUUUAUAGAAAGAAAACAGACUCAAAGUUUGGUCCAAGGUCUCAGUGCUAAUUGGUGGUGGAAUCAGGUUAGGUAUGUCAACCUCCUGGGCCAAGAAAGAUAGUCUCUGUUGGAGCACCUUGCACAGUGCUUGAUGCAUAGUAGGUGCUCAAUAAAUUUCAUCUGAAGCUGGAUCAUAGAAUGGUGGCCUUCUAAUCCCACAAGGCUGUUAUCCUGCUGUGGGAGUAACCAUCUUCUCUGGUGGUCUAAUGUCCCUUAUAGAAUGUGCGUAUUCUCUCCUAAGAGAAGAGUGGAGAUGAGGCCUGAGUCAAAUAUCCUAAGAAGCUGCCAAAAUACCUGUGGAGAAUUGCAUAACCUUGUCCCUCUAGGGCUUAGAAAAGAAUGAGUCAGACAGUCAGUUCUCAGACACGGUGCCCAGGAAAACAGGAAGAAGGUUCACUUAGGCAGAAAUCCAUGUAUGUGACCUUGGAUACAUCACUGAACUUCUUCAGGGGCAACAAUUUGAAAGACACAUUUGAGACACUCUGCCUAGGAUGACGUGAUCCUUCUGUAGCUGAUCUUCUGAGACCCGUGAAUUUUAUGUACUAUUUUCUAAUUAUAUUCUCAUUAUUUUCAAGGGCAUCAGACUGCAUUUCAAACUUGACAAUUCCUUUGCUAUAAUUUCAGCUCAAAUUUUGACUAAUUUAUACUUUAAAUACAAAUAUGCCCCAUUUUCUGCUUGUCAUCAUAGUUCAGAAAGAAGUUAUACCGACCAUGUUAUAUAAAGUAAUGAGGGGUCCUAUUCAGCUUGUUAACCAUGUUUCUUAAAAAAAAAAAGUACAAUAGAACUUUCUUUGUCAAUAUAAAAUUCGAGUUAUUUAUGAUGUGGCUAAAGAUAUGAUAAGAAGUCUCAGGAAUGGAAUCUGUUAUUGCUUGGAAAAUAAAAUCUCAAGACCUUCUUUGGAAAAAAAUGGAGAGUGAUAAAAUGCUUUCAUUUAGGGCUUGGCUGUGAUGUCAAGGUCAGCCAAUGAGCUUAGAGGGAAUCUGAGAAAAAUAAAGAGAAAAAUAGAAACAGAUGUCUGGAAAAUCUUCUUGAAUAUUGCUGGUGAAAUUGUAUGGUUAGAAGACAAAAUUUCAGUGUUACAUCCAUCAUCCUAAAAAGGUUAUAAUGAAAGCCAUUUAAAUUGGUGUUCAAAAACCUUGUGAGAACUUUGGUUGACUGUAUUCCACCAUGAAGUGCGUUUUGAUCUGAAGUCUUGGUUAGGGUAUUCCUCCAAUAGGUCAGCUGCCAUGGGCCUCCUAUUAAGUCAAAGUCUCUAUUUCAAAUUAGCAUAAGAGAGAACGCUGAUGAAAAGGGGAAUAAGAAUAAAGCUAAAUAAUUGUUUUGGCUUCUGAUUGAUCAGCAUCUAUGUUCUCAGAAGCAAGUUUCUUUUUGCCUCUAGUUGCUGCUGAUGGUAGGAAACAGAAAAAUACCUGUCUUAAAAAGUUGCCGAAGAUGGUCAGUUGAAAGGGUUGAAGAGCCUAACAGAGGAAAUAGAUCACCAAUAAUGGAGCUAAAAAGGAAUGAAAGUAGACAGCUUAGAGAUAGGACCCUUGGAGACACUCAGAUGGAAGGGUUGUCAAAAGGCUAAGCAUAAAAGACCAGGAAGAGCUAUAAUUCUAAUUAAGGUUCAGGAUGGUUUAAAAAGGAAAAUAAUCAAGAUUGGUAAGAAGAGUUUAAACUUAUAGUAGUGAUAAUGAUUUGACAGUUUGUUCUAGAAUGUCUAUCUAUUUUACUGAUUAGUUUUCAAGAGUGCUGUAAUUCAUACUAAGAAAAGUAGAGAAAGCUGAUUAUUUCUAACUCAGUACUACAAAGGUUUGACUUAAUUCUGUUAAAUUCCUGGCUUACUGCUAAUUGUAUGACCUUGGAUAAAUUACUUCACCCCUCCAAGCCUCACUGUCUUCAUCUGUAAAAUGGAGAAAUAGUAGCACCUACUUCAUGACAUCACUUUGAGGCCUCCAUGGUGGAUAUGAAUUGCUUAUUCCAGAGCUUAGAUUAUAUUAAAAGAAUACUACAUGGUUUUUGUUGAUGGUGGUAAUGAUGAUGUCCUUGAAUAUCUUUAAAUUGAGGUGCUCAUCUCUACCUUGUCUUUCAAAAGAUUCGAAGUGUCUUAAGUCCCAAAUAAUAAAUAAAAUUUUAUUUCUUUUUAUUUCUUGUUUAUAUCUCACCUCCCCUAAAAGCAAGACUAAAACAAAAUAUUUAUAA
rnacentral:lncRNA from 10 species